rnacentral:rRNA from 1 species
UACGUAGGGUGCGAGCGUUGUCCGGAAUUAUUGGGCGUAAAGAGCUCGUAGGCGGUGUGUCGCGUCGGCCGUGAAAACCUGCAGCUUAACUGUGGGCUUGCGGUCGAUACGGGCAGACUAGAGGUAUGCAGGGGAGAACGGAAUUCCUGGUGUAGCGGUGAAAUGCGCAGAUAUCAGGAGGAACACCGGUGGCGAAGGCGGUUCUCUGGGCAUUGACCUGACGCUGAGGAGCGAAAGCUAGGGGAGCGAACAGG